CGGUCUAGUUUUUAUUCCACGUCAUUGGUCGAAAGCUUGUGGCUGCAGCAAGAACGGGUGCUGAGCCACGACCGACCCGUUUAAGGACAGUCUGGAUUAGUCCCUGGUGGUCUUGUGGUUAGGGUACCUAGUGCUGUUCAACUUUGUUCCUCGAUUGGGGAGCUUGUCGCUUUAAAUAGUUUGGCCGUAAAGGAUCAUGGGUAAUACAGCUUUCAUUUCUCUCUUUGCGGGAGAAGAGACGAUCGUUCUUCAGCAAGUCGUCCUGAAUUUGGGCCGAAUGUGAAUCCCGACAUCGGACUUCCCUGAGCAGUACAUUAGUGGACUAAAACCUCAUUCGUGUUGUCUUCGUGUCCGGUUGGAGUUGUCUCCUCCACGUUGAAUCUUCUCGGCGUAUUUUAUCUCAUCUUAUCUUUGCUUAUCUUGCUAACCAAGAGAGAGACGUUUUGUGAUCAACACUUCGCUGAGCAGAGCUCAACAUUGAGGAGGAGUACGAGAAGGAAUUUCGGGGCCCAAAACAAGAGGAGGAGCCACAACGUCAACUCUUGGACGCAGCUCCGAAUACAGAGUAGUGCAGAAAGUUUUUUUGAUCGUCGGAUGAAAAUGUGUGCAAGAACGAUCGGAGAGUCCAAGAGAGAAUUUUGCGAACCAAAAAAGGAGGAGGAGCCACAACGUCAACUACUAGAUGCUUUGUUCAAUCUGCAGCCUCGAAUUGUGCUACGCAGAGCAGAUGUAAAAACUAACUAUUCCUCUCUGCAUUGCGAGCACCAUCACAUGACGUCGAUGAAAAUCUCUGUCCAGAGCAGCAGCAGUCAUUAUCCUGUAACAUCAAAAUAAAAGAGGAGGGUGAAGAACUUCAAUACAUCAAAGAGGAGGAUCAAGAGUUCCCACACAUCGAAGAAAACAAGCAGGAAAUCAUCCAGCUUCCAUCCACUGGUGUCCAUUUCAAGAGCAAAGAUGCUCAACGGGGGAUAAGACGAAGGGCGGAGCCUCCAACCAGGAACCGCGCAAGUCAUGGAGACCACUGUGGAGGAUCACAAACUGACGACGAUGAAGAUGAGCAGUCAGAAGUUGAUAUGACAUGUGACGCUCCCAAUAAAUGCUGGCAAUGUUCUCAUUGUCGGAAAGCUUUUGCUUCUAUGUGGAAUUUCAAAAAACACAUGAAAAUACACAUAGGAGAGAAGCCUUUUGCAUGCUCAGUUUGUGGUCAACAAUUCACUUGUAAGAAAAGCUUAAAAAACCACACAAGAAUUCAUACUGGUGAGAAACCUUUUCCGUGUUCAAUUUGUGGCCAAAGAUUUAGUCGGAAAGCAACCAUAAAAAGCCACACAAGAACUCACACUGGUGAGAAACCUUUUUCGUGCUCAAUUUGUGGCCAAAGAUUUAGUAUGAAGGGAACCUUAAAAAGACACACAAGAACUCACACUGGUGAGAAACCUUUUUCGUGCUCAAUUUGUGGCCAAAGAACUACUCGGAAGGGAAACUUAGAAAGACACACAAGAAAACACACUGGUGAGAAACCUUUUUUGUGCUCAAUUUGUGGCCAAAGAUUUAGUUGGAAGGGAACCUUAAAAAGACACACAAGAACUCACACUGGUGAUAAACCUUUUUCGUGCUCAAUUUGUGGCCAAAGAUUUACUCGGAAGGAAAACUUAGAAAGACACACAAGAAAACACACUGGUGCUCAGUCUGUGGCCAAAGAGUCCCUGACAAGAGUAGCUUAAAAAAAAAUACACCCAAACACAUACUGGUGAGAAGCCUUUUUCCUGCUCAGAUUCCGCCCCAAGAUUCUCUGACAAGAAUUGCUUAAAAAUACACAUACGAACACACACUGGAGAGAAACCCUUUUUCUUCUCCGUUUGUGGUCAGAAAUGUGCUAAAAAUAGAAACUUAAAAAAACACAAACACACACUGGUGUGAAGCCUUUUCCCUGCUCAGAUUGCGGCCAAAUAUUCUAUGACAGGAGUACGCUAAAAACACACAUUAGAACACACACUGGUGAGAAGCCUUUUUCCUGCUUUGUUUGUGGUCAAAGAUUUACUCUGAAGUGACAUUUAAAAAGACACAAAAACACACACUUGUGAGAAUCAGUUUUCCUGCUCAGUUUGUGGCCAAAAAUUAUCUGACAAGAAUUGCUUAAAAAGACAGAUAAGAACACACACUGGAGAGAAACCUUUUUUUCUGCUCCGUUUGUGGUCAGAAAUUUGCUAAGAAUGGCAACUUAAAAAACAUACAAGAACACACACUGGAGAGGAACUUUUUUUCUGCGCCGUUUGUGGUCAGAGAUUCAUUCAUAAGGGAAACUUAAAAAUACAUGCAAGAACACACACUGGUGAGAAAUCUUUUUCCUGCAUAGACUGUGGUCAAAGAUUCAUUCAUUGGAAGGACUCUUUAAAAAUACACACAAGAACCCACACUGAUGAGAAGGCUUUAUCCUGCUCAGUUCGUUGGAAAAGAUUUGUUGAGAAGGAAAACUUAAAAAUUCACGCGAAAACGCACACUGGUAACAAACCUUUUUCCUGCUCAGUUUGUGAUCAAACAUUUUCUCCUAAGCAUCAGGCUCAGAUACACAAGUGUGCCGGUAGGAAAGCCAUGAUCAAGAAGCUGUUCAUGUAAAUGUGUGAAUUCAAAGUAAUUACAGUACUGUUGUUGUCUGACAAUCAACAUUCUUGUGUUAUGUGUUACAACUUUUAUUCUAUCUUCGACAAAGGUCUUUUGUCCCCAAACAGCAAGUUGAUCCGAUUUGAGCUUAUCUGAUCCGUAAAAGCUAAAAUAUUGGCCAAUAUCCAUAAUUUUCUGAGCCGCUUAUCCUCACAAUCACACCUUGGAGCAAUUUGGACUCUCAAAUCAAAGCAUGUUUUUGGUACGUGGGAGGAAACCUCUGUAGGCAAGGGGAGAAUAUGGAAAAUCCACACAGGUAUGGGCCGGAUUUUAACCCUGGUACUCGGAACUGAGGCCAACACUCUACAGCUGUUCUACCGUGGAGCCCCUGCCUCACAUAUAUCAAAUAAAUUUCCCCUCAAAAAUGCUACUGAGACUCCAUUUGAACUUGUGUUUUUCUACCUCUUUAUUAUCAAUUUUUUGGCUGGUGCGACUUAAACUCCGAGCAACUUAUCGUCAGGAAAAUACAGUAAUUAAAAUAUUAGGUGACUCAUUAUGAAGAUGGGUUGAAUAGAAACGUCUACAUAUAUUUUAGUGAUAAUUGUUCACAUUUGUGGGACAUGAAAUGGUGUUUCUUGAAUUCAUGCAUGAGGCCUGUAAGCAUGUGUUACUUCCCUGCCAUUUUUUUUGGUGUCAUUUUGAUGCUCCGUAACCACCGGAUGUGAAUGAUUGCUUCGCGUUGCGUUCUUUGCUUAUGUUUGCUCGCGUGGCACAUUUGGACACAUUCAUCGGCACUGUAAAGUCGGCAAGAGGCGGGGCUUCCUCUUUGCAAGGUGUCAACAUUCCUUCCCGGACUUUUUCAGCUGUCCCAGCCUCGAGCGUUCAGGUGAAGGAGGUGAACUUGGGUAUGCCCGCAUCAUCCGUGUCAUUUUCUCGUCUAGCUGUGCAAACUGCAUUGACUUCCGAUGCAAUCAUGCCGCGUGGAACGCGCAACAUGGGAACUUAGCAUAAUGAUGCAUCCAUCUCUAUCCAAUCCAUAAAUUUGUCUAUGCACAGUAAACCUGUGAUUGAACAUAAUUUUGGGGCGCUAGCUGUUGUUCAUCUGUUGCAACGAUACAUGACCAACUUGAACAAAGCCGUUUUUGGAAACUCAAGCAAGCUGUAUUUUUUCUUUUUUUAAUUUCCUGAAAAGUUGUCAUUUUGAAGGUGAGGGGAUUACAUCUAACAGCUAUGAUGGAUGAAAUAUGAUUCAUUACGGCCACUUCAUAGGAUGAUACAUUCCUUGUCCCGCACCUGCUUUGGUAGUGCUUUUUAAUUUUUUUGUUCACAAUGGGGCGUUCAAAAGGGAAUUAGUUCUUUACCAAUAGCUCCAAAGUGUAUUAAUUUUCUUUUGCAUGCAUGUAUUUUGUCUAGUGUUUUAUUUGUCAAUAUCAAAAUUAGUGAAUAAUUGAUUGUAACACCGGAAAAAAAUUGGCUUUUGAUGGUAACGUGUAUAUGGAAUUCUUAAUAAAAUACACUUC